rnacentral:lncRNA from 1 species
UGUUGACUGAUCCUCUCCUGGACCUGGUCUCAGCCUCCCCAGUUUGGAGCAUUAAGCUUUCUGUGUCCCUACUAUCACCAGAUCCACACAAGACAGGGCCCGAUGCUGGUGGUAACAUGAAAAUAUAUCUACUUGAAAGUGCGUGUCCUGCACCGUGCGGUGGAGAAAUCUCAGGUGAACACUUCCUGUGUUCACAGGGCACUCCUGUAAUUCAGAGCCUGGAUCGGAGGGCUUUGCUUAAGGUGAG